AUGGCCGGGAAAGUUUUCAUUGCUGUGGCUUUGGAAGGUGUCCGGUCCCAGGUGCAGCUGGUGGAGUCCGGAGGGGAUGUGAAAAAGCCCGGAGACUCUCUCCGCCUCUCCUGCAAAGCCUCCGGGUUCACCUUCAGAAGCUACUGGAUGGACUGGGUCCGCCAGGCCCCCGGGAAGGGGCUGGAGUGGGUCGCCCGUAUCAGCAGUGGCAGUGGGAGUAGCACAUACUACGCUGAUGCAGUCAAAGGGCGAUUCACCAUCUCCAGGGACAAUCCCAGCAACCUGCUGUAUCUGCAACUGACCGGCCUGAAACCCGAGGACACCGCCCGCUAUUACUGUGCGAGAGACACAGUGGGGGGAAUCUCGACAGGGCUCAUACAAAAACCCGAGGCGCAGAACCGCCCUUCUCCCUGUGUGUGA